GUAGGUGAACCUGCGGAAGGAUCAUUACCGAGCUCAUGCCCUUCGGGGUAGACCUCCCACCCGUGUCUAUCAUCCCAUGUUGCUUCGGCGGGCCGUCCCUUGCGGCCGCGGGCCUCCGGGCCCGCGCGCUGCCCGUCGAAGGUCUUCCAAACUCGCGGUAAACGUGUCGUCCGAGUCAUACAUACAAUCGUUUAAAACUUUCAACAACGGAUCUCUUGGUUCUGGCAUCGAUGAAGAACGCAGCAUCUGA
rnacentral:misc_RNA from 1 species